GUGGGGGAUAUUGCACAAUGGAGGAAACUCUGAUGCAGCGACGCCGCGUGAGGGAAGACGGUUUUCGGAUUGUAAACCUCUGUCUUCAGGGACGAACAAAUGACGGUACCUGAGGAGGAAGCUCCGGCUAACUACGUGCCAGCAGCCGCGGUAAUACGUAGGGAGCAAGCGUUGUCCGGAAUUACUGGGUGUAAAGGGAGCGUAGGCGGGAAUGUAAGUUGAAUGUCAAAUCUACCGGCUCAACUGGUAGUCGCGUUCAAAACUGCGUUUCUUGAGUGAAGUAGAGGCAGGCGGAAUUCCUAGUGUAGCGGUGAAAUGCGUAGAUAUUAGGAGGAACACCAGUGGCGAAGGCGGCCUGCUGGGCUUUUACUGACGCUGAGGCUCGAAAGUGUGGGUAGCAAACAGGAUUAGAAACCCUAGUAGUCC
rnacentral:rRNA from 1 species